GCGGCAGGCUUCAUACAUGCAAGUCGAGGGGCAGCAUAAAUUACUUGUAAUUUGAUGGCGACCGGCGAACGGGUGCGUAACGCGUAUGCAACUUACCUUUUACUAGAGAAUAGCCAAGAGAAAUUUUGAUUAAUGCUCUAUACACUUAUUAAUUCUCAUGAAUCUAUAAGAAAAGCUCCGGCGGUAAAAGAUGGGCAUGCGUCCUAUUAGCUUGUAGGUGAGGUAACGGCUCACCUAAGCUCCGAUAGGUAGGGGUCCUGAGAGGGAGAUCCCCCACACUGGUACUGAGACACGGACCAGACUUCUACGGAAGGCAGCAGUAAGGAAUAUUGGACAAUGGAGGCAACUCUGAUCCAGCCAUGCCGCGUGAAGGAAGACGGCCUUAUGGGUUGUAAACUUCUUUUAUACAGGAAGAAACCUUUCCACGUGUGGAAAGCUGACGGUACUGUAAGAAUAAGGAUCGGCUAACUCCGUGCCAGCAGCCGCGGUAAUACGGAGGAUCCAAGCGUUAUCCGGAAUUAUUGGGUUUAAAGGGUCCGCAGGCUGUUUGUUAAGUCAGAGGUGAAAUCCUACCGCUCAACGGUAGAACUGCCUUUGAUACUGGCAAACUUGAGUUAUUGUGAAGUAGUUAGAAUGUGUAGUGUAGCGGUGAAAUGCAUAGAUAUUACACAGAAUACCGAUUGCGAAAGCAGAUUACUAACAAUAUACUGACGCUGAGGGACGAAAGCGUGGGUAGCGAACAGGAUUAGAUACCCUGGUAGUCCACGCCGUAAACGAUGGUCACUAGCUGUUUGAUGUACAUUGGUACAUUGAGUGGCUAAGCGAAAGUGAUAAGUGACCCACCUGGG
rnacentral:rRNA from 1 species